ACAUUUCCGAUAUUUCAGAAUGAGGUUUUUGAGUAAAGACAUUUCAAAGACAUUUCAGAUGUACAGAUCAAUAAUCAUGAACACCACAACCACAUGCUGGUAUAUGUAGCCCAUAGGUAGUCCACAAGUACCCCAUGGCCACCAUGGCCACCACAUGCAACCCACACCUCCCUCACAACACAUACACAGCCCAUAGGUAGUCCACACGCACCCCAUGGACACCACAUGUAGCCUGCACCUUCCUCAUAGCACAUACACAACCCACAAGUAGUUUACACACACCCCAUAUCCACCAUGACCACCACAUGUAGCCUGCACCUCCCUCACAACACACAUACACAACCCAUACCAUAGGUAGUCCACACGCACCUCAUGGCCACCCUAGCCACCACAUGCAGCUUGCACCUCCCUCACAACACAUACACAACCCAUAGGUGGUUCACACGCACUCCAUGGCCACAUGGCUACCACAUGCAGUCCGCACCUCCCUCAUAGCACACACAUAGCCCAUAGGUAGUCCACAUUCACCCCAUGGCCACCACAUGUAGCCCCACCUCCCUCACAGCACACACAGAGCCCAUAAGUAGUCCGCACACACCCCAUGUCUACCAUGGCCACCACAUGCAGCCCGCACCUCCCUCACAAGACACACACAACCCAUAGGUAGUCCACACACACCCCAUGGCCACCAUAUGCAACCCACACCUCCCUCACAGCACAUACACAACCCAUAGGUAGUCCACACACACCCUAUGGCCACUAUAGCCACCACAUGCAACCCGCACCUUCCUCACAACACACACACACACAACCCAUAGGUAGUCCAUAGGCACUCCAUGGCCACCAUGGCUACCACAUGCAGCUCGCAUCUUCCUCACAUCACACAUACAACCCAUAGGUAGUCCAUAGGCACCCCAUGGCCACCACAUGUAGCCCGCACCUUCCUCAUAGCACAUACACAGCCAAUAGGUAGUCUACAUGCACCCUAUGGCCACCAUGGCCACCACAUGCAGCUCGCACCUUCCUUAUAGCUCACCCAUGCAUACCUCACCUUCACACGCUCACCCACAUGCAGCCCACAC
rnacentral:lncRNA from 1 species